rnacentral:misc_RNA from 1 species
CGUUCUUCUCUCUUUCAUCAUUCCGAAGCAAGGGAAGUGACUCAAAGCUCAGAUAAUUACAUGAGAGAAAAGUUAAGAGCCACUGCUUGGAGUAUCUCAAGUGAUAGGGUGUAAAGGAUUAUAUAUAGGAUACAAAUGCUUGUGUUGAAAUACGUUAUAUAUUGUAUCGAACAAAAAUCGCCGAUUGGCAUUCUUGUGAUUUUGGUAGUCUAGGAGCAUUCUUUUUUCUUCUUCUCUUUAUUUGCUUUAGCCUUGUGUGAUGCGUUAUGAGCAUUCAGACUCUUGGCAGAAAUAGUGUUGGUGACCAUUUUAAGAAGAGUGAUGUGAUUAUGCGGAGUAACAGCAUGUAAACAAAGACUACUUUAUUUUAUAAUCUUCUUCGCUUUAUUACUGCUAAUGUUAUGCUUUU